rnacentral:rRNA from 1 species
AGUUCGUGCGUGUACCCCGCAAGGGGGAAAGCGGCGUAAGGGAGAGUAAUACGUAGAUACGUGCCCUCGGGUUCGGGAUAGCCACGGGAAACUGUGGGUAAUACCGGAUAACGUCUAAGGACCAAAGGUGUGAUUCCGCCCGAGGAUCGGUCUGCGUCCUAUCAUGCUUGUUGGUGAGGUAACGGCUCACCAAGGCUACGACGGGUACGGGGUGUGAGAGCAUGCCCCCGCUCACUGGGACUGAGACACUGCCCAGACACCUACGGGUGGCUGCAGUCGAGGAUCUUCGGCAAUGGGCGCAAGCCUGACCGAGCGACGCCGCGUGCGGGAUGAAGGCCUUCGGGUUGUAAACCGCUUUUAGUGGGGAGGAAGGCCCUGUGCAGAGCAGGGUUUGACCUAUCCGCAGAAUAAGUGUGGGCUAAGUUCGUGCCAGCAGCCGCGGUAAGACGAACCACACGAACGUUAUUCGGAAUUACUGGGCUUAAAGGGUGCGUAGGCUGUGCAGAAAGUUAGGUGUGAAAUCCCCCGGCUCAACCGGGGAAUUGCGCUUAAAACUACUGUGCUAGAGGAAUACAGAGGUAAGCGGAACUUCGGGUGGAGCGGUGAAAUGCGUUGAUAUCCGAAG